UGGGGGAUCGUCUAAUUGGCAGGACACGUGACUCUGGAUCACGCAAUGGUGGUUCGAGUCCACCUCCCCCAG
rnacentral:tRNA from 1 species